AUUGAACGCUGGCGGCAUGCCUUACACAUGCAAGUCGAACGGUAACGCGGGGCAACCUGGCGACGAGUGGCGGACGGGUGAGUAACGCAUCGGAACGUGCCCAGUAGUGGGGGAUAGCCCGGCGAAAGCCGGAUUAAUACCGCAUACGACCUACGGGUGAAAGGGGGGGAUCGCAAGACCUCUCGCUAUUGGAGCGGCCGAUGUCAGAUUAGGUAGUUGGUGGGGUAAAGGCCCACCAAGCCUUCGAUCUGUAGCUGGUCUGAGAGGACGACCAGCCACACUGGGACUGGGACACGGCCCAGACUCCUACGGGAGGCAGCAGUGGGGAAUUUUGGACAAUGGGCGCAAGCCUGAUCCAGCCAUGCCGCGUGCGGGAAGAAGGCCUUCGGGUUGUAAACCGCUUUUGUCAGGGAAGAAACGCUCUGGGCUAUACCCCGGGGUAAUGACGGUACCUGAAGAAUAAGCACCGGCUAACUACGUGCCAGCAGCCGCCGUAA
rnacentral:rRNA from 1 species